GUGUAUUGCGUUGAGUGAGAGUGAGGAUUUGCUUUCAUCAAUUGCACCAGAAAUCUUGGCUAACUUAUCAACUAUUCGUUGUGGCGUUUGUCAGAUUCUCAUCUAAAUCCUUUGAUCAUUGGUGUUUCAGCUUCUCUAAGUUUGGGGUGCCAUAGGAGGUGGGUUUAUCAAAUCUUUGGAUUCCAUAUCUACUUGUGCGUAUA
rnacentral:lncRNA from 1 species